rnacentral:misc_RNA from 1 species
UAGCCGUAGGUGAACCUGCGGAAGGAUCAUUAUUGAUUUUUAAAAGAUGUGCUGGCAUUUAUUUGCAUGUGCACUCUUCACAAAAACCAAUAUCCACCUGUGCACAUUCUGUAAGCAACAGGGUGUAUGCCCUUUGCUUAUGUCUCUUUACAAACAACCAUUGAUUUAUUUGAAUGUCAUUUUAAAACCAAUACAACUUUCAACAAUGGAUCUCUUGGUUCCG